rnacentral:lncRNA from 1 species
GUUUAUGUAACUCAAACAAUUUGACAGUGCUCCAUUUUAUCAUAGUCAUUCAGCUAUUUGAUGGUCUUGAAGCGUAUUUGAUGUGUCGAACUGUUAUCACUCAUAUUGUGUAAGUAACCAUGUGCUUUUAAGUGUAUGUAGCUCAUAAACAAUUUUUGUUUAUCAUGCUUAUUUUUAAUUCUGAAACUUCUGAAUAUUACUCCCGUAGACAUGACUCAUGAGUAGCUUCUUGUUAGUAUUAUUAGUUAUGCUUCAUUCAAGUUUGAACACUAAGUGAUGAAUUUUCUGGUUCCUUGGCUGUAAUUUUUUUUUAAGAGUUACAGAAUUACUACUCUGCUUUUUUAUUUUGAUAUGAUGGUUGUGAAGUUUCAGUUUUAGGCUAAGAUUAUUGUUA